CUGUCUAUUUAAAUUGAAAUUACUAAAUUAGGUGAAAAUACCUUUAGCAUGAAUAAAAGACGAGAAGACCUAGAAAAUUUUUUAUAAAGGGUAUAUAUACACUCUUAUUUUGUUGGGGCAACAGAAUAACAUAACAACCUAUUUUAUACUAUACAUAGAAUUUUUUAAAAGGUUAAAUUAAAUUACUCUAGGGAUAACAGCAUAAUUACUUAAUAGUUUGUGACCUCGAUGUUGGACUAAGGAAGGUUAUAUUUAGAAGGUAUAAUAAACCGUCAUGUUCUAACAAAUAAUCCUUACAUGAUCUGAGUUAG
rnacentral:rRNA from 1 species